CCUACGGGCGGCUGCAGUGAGGAAUAUUGGUCAAUGGACGAAAGUCUGAACCAGCGAUGCCGCGUGCAGGAAGACGGCUCUAUGAGUUGUAAACUGCUUUUGUACGAGGGUAAACGCAGAUACGUGUAUCUGUCUGAAAGUAUAGUCCGAUUAAGGAUAGGCUAACUCCGUGCCAGCAGCCGCGGUAAUACGGAGGAUUCAAGUGUUAUCCGGAUUUAGUGGGUUUAAGGGGUGCGUAGGCGGUCGGAUAAGUUAGAGGUGAAAGCCCGGGGCUCAACUUCGGAAUUGACUCUGAUACUGUUCGGCUAGAGAGUAGUGGCGGUAGGCGGAAUGUAUGGUGUAGCGGUGAAAUGCUUAGAGAUCAUACAGAACACCGAUUGCGAAGGCAGCUUACCAAGCUACAUCUGACGUUGAGGCACGAAAGCGUGGGGAGCAAACAGGAUUAGAUACCCUAGUAGUC
rnacentral:rRNA from 1 species